rnacentral:rRNA from 1 species
UACGGAGGGUGCGAGCGUUAAUCGGAAUUACUGGGCGUAAAGCGGGCGCAGGCGGUUUGUUAAGCGAGAUGUGAAAGCCCCGGGCUCAACCUGGGAACCGCAUUUCGAACUGGCAAACUAGAGUCUUGUAGAGGGGGGUAGAAUUCCAGGUGUAGCGGUGAAAUGCGUAGAGAUCUGGAGGAAUACCGGUGGCGAAGGCGGCCCCCUGGACAAAGACUGACGCUCAGGCACGAAAGCGUGGGGAGCAAACAGG